CACUGUGAAACUACAACAGAUUUUAAAAAAUGGAAAGUGCGUAUAGUUCCCUCUCCCCCUUUUGUCUCCUCCUUUCCACAAAGCAAGAUCCAAAAGUCCUUUUGCUGGCUGGUCAGUCAGGAGGAGGAAACAAUGGGUGAAAAAAAAAACUAAAAAUCUUUUAACCAUGACAUUGACACCCAAAGAUUCUAAAGCACUGGAGAUUUUCUACACGACUGGUUUUUGCAAGUCUCUCACCUCAAAUCCGGUUUUGUUGCUUUUCAUCUUCAUUUUUAACUUCAGAAAACAGACAUGUUUCUCCCAAGAGAACAAUUAAAUGUGUUUUCUUUCAAAAUCUAAAGGGCAUGGUGAGCAGGCUGUGUGUUCAGCAGGCUACUUUAAUCAAUGGAACCCAUCCAGCCUGCCAGUGCUGACCAAAUUGCAAUUUACAUUGGUAGAGAAUACUUUUGAAAUGGGAAGGUGUGGAAUAUAAUACCAUUUUUGGAAUAACAUAGUAUGCAGGGUGUUGUGUGGUUUAAUGGUUUUCUAACAAGCUUUUUGAAAAAGCUUUGAAAUAUUAAAAAAACCCAAUAAGACUGUAAAUUACAGCAAUAUCUGCUUGAACAGAGAAAGCCAUGCUAUGUAUCAGGACUUCUGAAGUCCACAUAAUGCAUCUCAUCUAAGCUUUAUUGAAAGGAUUCAAGAGGGGCUAGAUUUUGCAAGGCACUUUAUCUACCCCCUAGCCCUCUAUGCUCAGGUGUCUUUUCUCAAAAAUACAAAAGAAUUUGAGCCAGAUGACAUUGAAUACCUCUUUUUUUUUUUUUUUUUUUUAGCUAAACACAAUUUUAGCUUCAUUAGAGAGACUUUUUUGUUUGUUUAAAACUGGUUUUAAUAUGAGUUUUAUGAGCUCACCUAUCUUCUAAUGUUAAAGAAGCAUAUUUUUGCAUAUGAUGAAUAAAGUAGAAUGCAUUUUUUUCUACAUGGCAGAAGAGACAAAAGAUCUCAGAACAGUUAGGAAGAAAACUAAUUAUGUUACAGGCUGGGAAAUUUAGCAUACCAGUAGUACCACUCUCCAUUUCAAGAGAAAUAGAUACAGGAAAAAAAUGCAGUCUAUUUCUCAGCCUGAGUAAGCCCCACAGAUUGCUGAGGUUAACAGUUUCUUAGCUGCUUAAUUUCAUAGUUAUUCUUUGCAAGUCUUACCGGGAGGUUUUAACAUUAUGCAAAGAGGCAGUGCCUCCACCAAGUACACAUGGACUAUUCACUCCCAUUGCCUGAGAGAGCCACAAAGAACUAGAGGAAAGAAAUGUUGCUGUGCUUAUCAUACAUGAGCUCAGUUUAUUUGUGCUAUAAAUAAAAGUAGAUCUUGAUAGCGUAAUUACAUUUCUCAGCAUUAUCCUCUGCCAUUUGCUUCAGAAAGGAAAAAGAAAAGGGAGAAAAAGUUGGCUUCACUCUAAUUUGUAAUCAAAAUGACUACACUUAAAACAUAAUUUUAUUUCUCUGAUUUCAUUUCCUGUGCAGCUUUGUGGGGUAAAUAGAUAAUAUUAUACUAAAUCUGCAGGCAGAUAAUUCUCACAUCCCCUGCACUGUCAUUGUCUAGAUCACUUUGCCC
ensembl:lncRNA